rnacentral:rRNA from 1 species
UACGAAGGGGGCUAGCGUUGUUCGGAUUUACUGGGCGUAAAGCGCACGUAGGCGGAUCGUUAAGUCGGGGGUGAAAUCCUGGAGCUCAACUCCGGAACUGCCUUCGAUACUGGCGAUCUUGAGUCCGGAAGAGGUGAGUGGAAUUCCUAGUGUAGAGGUGGAAUUCGUAGAUAAUUAGGAAGAACACCAGUGGCGAAAGGCGGCUCACUGGUCCGGGUACUGACGCUGAGGUGCGAAAGCGUGGGGAGCAAACAGG